ACUUCGUUCACAUUCACCUCAGUUUUGGUGUGUUUAUUUGAUAAAACUCGAUAUGUGUUAACUGGAUUUGUUGAAGUUGAAGAACAUGUCAAGAAGCUUGAAGAAGCAGUUGGCUGGAAGAAGAUAGGACCUGCGAGGUCAUGUUCUUUUGUCUGUUCGUUGCAAGGAGGCUCAUGGUCACCAUGCUCAAGGGCUCUCAUGUUUAAACCAAUGCAGCACCCUUCGUUGUAUUCAACCUGUCAAGAAGCUGUAUAGAUCAGUUUUCGCAUCUAACAGUUAGGAUUCUUUUGUGUUAUAGAUUGACAUGGACACUAUUGAAGUCAAUAACCUGAAUAGGCAAUUCAUAUUCCGUCCUUCUCAUGUUGGGCACUCCAAGGCUAAGGUAUAUUUGCUUGAGCUAAGUCCAAGGGAAUCCAGUUCAUAAGAGAAUUCAUGUGACCAUAUAUAAUCAAAGUUGUUAACCAAAGUUGUUGGGUUUGUUGAAUCCAGUUUAGGAGGUAUAUGUGAGCAACCUGGGCUCAUUCUCCAUCGCUUCAAGCUGAUUUCUCUCUGAUGGUGUCAUUAAGCAACCUGAGCUCAUUCUCCCUCACCUUAAGUUCCUUAAGAGAUGCUUCCAUCUGCUCAGCUUCCUUUCUCCUUGUCUCGGGUCUCUACAGUUUGCUUCAGGUCAAAAUCUUUAACAUUCAU